AGCUGAAUAUACACUAUGCCUUGUGCAUAAACUCAGAUUUUGCUACUCUGGUGAAAAAUCUGAAACAUCAUCCUGAUGAUUGCACAAAAAAAAUAUUUUUAUUUAAAGGGAUAGUUCAUCCAAAAAUGAAAAUCCUGUCAUCAUUUACUCACCCUCAAGUUGUUCCAAACCUGUAUGAGCUUCUUUCUUCUGUUGAACACAAAAGAAGAUAUUUUGAAGAAUGUUGGUAACCAAACAGUUGAUGGGCUUCAUUGACUUCCAUAGUAUUUCUUUUUCCAUACUAUGGAAGUCAUCAACUGUUUGGUUUUAUGACACAUUGAUGAUUUAGUUAUUGGGCGUCAUAUUUGACAGUAAUUGUGAUUUUGAAGACAUUUAUGUAUCUAUCAUAACUUCAAUGGUGGACUACCUUAAACAACUUUUAGAUGGAUGACGCAUUAUCUCCAUUAAAGCUUUUUUUAAAACCUCAGGAACCUCAGGUGCUCUGACCAGGUCCAGAAGGUGUGAUCGCAUUAUCAUGUCUACACUGGUGACCAUGUGUCUGGAUUAUAUCUGCGCAAAUUAACAUUUGUAUGUCUGUACCUAUAUUUGCAUUAAAUAUGUGUCAACUG